ACGCCGUUGGUGAACCAGCGGAGGGAUCAUUACUGAGUUACCGCUCUAUAACCCUUUGUGAACAUACCUACAACUGUUGCUUCGGCGGGUAGGCCGUCCCCUGAAAAGGACGCCUCCCGGCCCGGACCGGACCCCCCGCGGGACCGGACCCGGCGCCCGCCGGAGGAUAACCAAACUCUAUUGUAACGACGUUUCUUCUGAGUGGCAUAAGCAAAAUAAUCAAAACUUUUAACAACGGAUCUCUUGGUUCUGGCAUCGAUGAAGAACGCAGCGAAAUGCGAUAAGUAAUGUGAAUUGCAGAAUUCAGUGAAUCAUCGAAUCUUUGAACGCACAUUGCGCCCGCCAGCAUUCUGGCGGGCAUGCCUGUUCGAGCGUCAUUUCAACCCCUCAAGCUCUGCUUGGUGUUGGGGCUCUACGGUCGACGUAGGCCCUCAAAGGUAGUGGCGGACCCUCCCGGAGCCUCCUUUGCGUAGUAACAUUUCGUCUCGCACUGGGAUCCGGAGGGACUCUUGCCGUAAAACCCCAAUUUUCCAAGGUUGUCCUCGGAUCAGGUAGGAAUACCCGCUGAACUUAAGCA
rnacentral:rRNA from 1 species